rnacentral:rRNA from 1 species
UACGUAGGGUGCGAGCGUUAAUCGGAAUUACUGGGCGUAAAGCGUGCGCAGGCGGCUUCGCAAGUCAGACGUGAAAUCCCCGGGCUUAACCUGGGAAUGGCGUUUGAAACUACGGAGCUGGAGUAUGGCAGAGGGGGGUGGAAUUCCGCGUGUAGCAGUGAAAUGCGUAGAGAUGCGGAGGAACACCGAUGGCGAAGGCAGCCCCCUGGGCCAAUACUGACGCUCAGGCACGAAAGCGUGGGGAGCAAACAGG